UACGUAGGGUGCAAGCGUUGUCCGGAAUUAUUGGGCGUAAAGAGCUCGUAGGCGGUUUGUCGCGUCUGCUGUGAAAACCCGAGGCUCAACCUCGGGCCUGCAGUGGGUACGGGCAGACUAGAGUGCGGUAGGGGAGAUUGGAAUUCCUGGUGUAGCGGUGGAAUGCGCAGAUAUCAGGAGGAACACUCGUGGCGAAGGCGGGUCUCUGGGCCGUAACUGACGCUGAGGAGCGAAAGCGUGGGGAGCGAACAGG
rnacentral:rRNA from 1 species